UUCCUGGGACAGCCUGCGGCCCUCUGUGGCACACAGACAUGGCCGGCAUUCUGCUGCCUUCCCCUACCAGGGCCAAGCUCGAGAGAUCUUGCUUGUCUUCAGAUGGAAGAAGUGGGACCUAAGCCGCCGAGAGCAUGGAGCUGGCCACACAUGAGUCCAGGACACCGCUGGUCGCCACAGCAGUGAAAAUGAGGCUCCUUCCUCUCCCAGAUGGAUGCAGGCCCCCAUGGCAGCUGGCACAGAAGACAGUGUGAUACGGAAGAGGUGACGCUAGACUCUGCAAGGAGAAACCCCUCCUGCCAAGGGCAACCUUGAGGCGGAGACUCAUCUCAGAAUAUGGAAUUUAUGGGUGUGGAGUCCGGAUGGAUGUGUGAGGCACACUGGCCCCACCCAGGCACCACUGAGGUGUUCUCCCCAUGGCUGUGUGACAAGAGCUCAUUCUACUGCUGCCUGGUUCCACCAUGCAGAGGGCUCACUGCUCGGCAGGGCACAGGCUUCCACUGUGGAACAGCUCCGCUCACUUGAAAUCCAUCUGCAUGGACU